AGCACAGGUUCUCCUGGAAAACUGAUUUUAUCCUGAUCUAUCCCAGUCUGCUGGGCAGUGUUGCUGGAAGAGGGAAGAUCUGCAUUCCAGCAGCAGGGAAUUCCUGUUCCUGACCCUUGUGCUCCAAUGGAUGCUGUGGAAUACAUUCAGGCAGAACUUUUCAAAAAAGAGUUCCAAACAAUAUGAAAGGUUGGAUGGGAAAACAAGUCCUUUCCUUGGAAAAAGCAAAAUACGGGAAAAAAAAUCUACAGCUUCUGUUCUAGGGAGGCAUCAGAGUGCAAAUAAAAACCUGCCUGGAGCAGGACAGCUGGGGGCUGGGGAGCACCUCUGUGUCCAAGAGAUGAGACUGGGCCUGCACCAUCCCAAAACAUCCCAAAACAUCCCAAAACAUCCCCAAGCAGCCCCUCUCCUCCUUGGAGAGCAGAAAUGAGCCCUCAGGAGGCUCCUGGCCACAGCAAAUGCUGCAGCUCUGCCUGGAAAGUUCUCAUUUCCUCCUCUCUUCGCCGUCCCUCCCCAGAUGUCAGCCUGGAGAAAUGACUAAAACAGGCAACUCUUUGUGCAGGGAGCUCUGAAAUGUCCUCAAAGCAAACAGAAGCCCUGGAAAGCCUGGAGUGCCUUUAAAGCAUGGAACAGCAAAAGACAGGGAAUUCUGUGUGACACCUCUGGCUCCAGCUGGAAAAGCCUUUUAGAACCUGGAGGGAAAUGAAUGGGACCCGGCGCGGGUUUGGGGGAAAUAUUCCAGCUCUGUCUCCCCCUUUUUGGGGCUAAGACACUGAAAAUUGGGCACCAAGGCACUGGCCCAGAGCCAGGGCCUGCUAUGGAAGAGCCUUGCCCGGCCCCUCAGCACAUUCCAGAGGCAGCAGGAGCUGUCUGCAGUUCCCUGGUGGAAGAAACGAUGCCCUGAGAGGCAAAGCCCACACCCCUCGUGCCACCAGGGCAGACCAGAGCUGCCAGCUCCAGCUCCUGCCCGAGGAGCACAAACCCCUUUCAGAUGUUCAUUUCAUUAGUAUUUUUAAUCUAUAUUUAUUUUAUUAUCUUAGUAGCUAUAGUUAUAUUUUUAUCUUUUCAUCUAUAGCUCCAUUCUUCUAUUUUGAGUCACUUAUAGAUUUAUUUACAGC
rnacentral:lncRNA from 1 species